UGAGGAACAUGACCUUCGGCGGGGGAGUAGCCGGCCCAACGGCCGGGUAAUACCGCGUACGACCACAUGGGGACAUCCCCGAGUGGUGAAAGCAGCAAUGCUCCGAUGGAGUGCCUCGCGGCCUAUCAGCUAGUUGGUGAGGUAACGGCUCACCAAGGCGACGACGGGUAGCUGGUCUGAGAGGAUGGCCAGCCACAUUGGGACUGAGACACGGCCCAGACUCCGUAGGGACGG
rnacentral:rRNA from 1 species